rnacentral:rRNA from 1 species
UGAGGAAUAUUGCGCAAUGGACGAAAGUCUGACGCAGCCAUGCCGCGUGCAGGAUGACGGCGCUACGCGUUGUAAACUGCUUUUAUAUGCCAAGAAACCUUCGGACGUGUCCGAAGCUGACGGUAGCAUAUGAAUAAGCACCGGCUAACUCCGUGCCAGCAGCCGCGGUAAUACGGAGGGUGCAAGCGUUAUCCGGAUUUAUUGGGUUUAAAGGGUCCGUAGGCGGAUCAUUAAGUCAGUGGUGAAAGCCGGCAGCUCAACUGUCGAACUGCCAUUGAUACUGAUGAUCUUGAAUACUGUUGAAGUUGGCGGAAUAGGUCAUGUAGCGGUGAAAUGCUUAGAUAUGACCUAGAACACCGAUUGCGAAGGCAGCCAACUAAGCAGUCAUUGACGCUGAGGGACGAAAGCGUGGGGAGCGAACAGG